rnacentral:rRNA from 1 species
CUAGUCGAGCGGUAAGGCCUUUCGGGGUACACGAGCGGCGAACGGGUGAGUAACACGUGGGUGAUCUGCCCUGCACUUCGGGAUAAGCCUGGGAAACUGGGUCUAAUACCGGAUAUGACCUCAGGUUGCAUGACUUGGGGUGGAAAGAUUUAUCGGUGCAGGAUGGGCCCGCSSCYUWUCARCUUGUUGGUGGAGGUAAWGGCCUWCCCAAGGCGASGACGGGUWGCCGRCCUGGAGAGGGUGWCCGGACCMCACUGGGAMUGRGACMCGGACCCAGACUYCUUACGGGAGGCAGCMGUGGGGAAUAUUGCMCMAUGGGCGAAAGCCUGAUGCARCGACCGCCGCGUGAGGGAUGACGGCCCUUCGGGUUGUAAACCUCUUUCAGCAGGGACGAAGCGCAAGUGACGGUACCUGCAGAAGAAGCACCGGCUAACUACGUGCCAGCAGCCGCGGUAAUACGUAGGGUGCAAGCGUUGUCCGGAAUUACUGGGCGUAAAGAGUUCGUAGGCGGUUUGUCGCGUCGUUUGUGAAAACCAGCAGCUCAACUGCUGGCUUGCAGGCGAUACGGGCAGACUUGAGUACUGCAGGGGAGACUGGAAUUCCUGGUGUAGCGGUGAAAUGCGCAGAUAUCAGGAGGAACACCGGUGGCGAAGGCGGGUCUCUGGGCAGUAACUGACGCUGAGGAACGAAAGCGUGGGUAGCGAACAGGAUUAGAUACCCUGGUAGUCCACGCCGUAAACGGUGGGCGCUAGGUGUGGGUUCCUUCCACGGAAUCCGUGCCGUAGCUAACGCAUUAAGCGCCCCGCCUGGGGAGUACGGCCGCAAGGCUAAAACUCAAAGGAAUUGACGGGGGCCCGCACAAGCGGCGGAGCAUGUGGAUUAAUUCGAUGCAACGCGAAGAAACCUUACCUGGGGUUUGACAUAUAMCCGGRAAAGCUGCAGAAGAUGUGGUCCCCCCUUGKGGUACGGUAUACACGGUGGUGACAUGGGCUGUCRUCCARCUCSUGGGUCSKGARAUGUUGGGGUUAAGUUCCCGCAACCAAGAGCSMAMCYCCUAUCUUUAUGGUUGGCCYRSCMCKUUAUGGUGGGGRGAACUCUCRWRARARACUGUCCGGGGUYAACYUCCGGARGRARGUKGKGRSGACGUCAAGUCAUCAUGCCCCUUAUGUCCAGGGCUUCACACAUGCUACAAUGGCCAGUACAGAGGGCUGCGAGACCGUGAGGUGGAGCGAAUCCCUUAAAGCUGGUCUCAGUUCGGAUCGGGGUCUGCAACUCGACCCCGUGAAGUCGGAGUCGCUAGUAAUCGCAGAUCAGCAACGCUGCGGUGAAUACGUUCCCGGGCCUUGUACACACCGCCCGUCACGUCAUGAAAGUCGGUAACACCCGAAGCCGGUGGCUUAUAUCAC